rnacentral:rRNA from 1 species
CCUACGGGUGGCAGCAGUGAGGAAUAUUGGUCAAUGGGCGAGAGCCUGAACCAGCCAAGUCGCGUGAGGGAAGACGGUCCUAUGGAUUGUAAACCUCUUUUGUCGGGGAGCAAAAAGGCCUCGUGAGGCCACAAGUCAGAGUACCCGAAGAAAAAGCAUCGGCUAACUCCGUGCCAGCAGCCGCGGUAAUACGGAGGGUGCAAGCGUUGUCCGGAUUCAUUGGGCGUAAAGAGUUCGUAGGCGGCAUGUAAAGUCAGGUGUUAAAGGCGCAGGCUCAACCUGUGUAUGGCACUUGAUACUUGCAAGCUGGAAUGCGGUAGAGGUAAAGGGAAUUCCUGGUGUAGCGGUGAAAUGCUUAGAUAUCAGGAGGAACAUCGGUGGCGUAAGCGCUUUACUGGGCCGUAAUUGACGCUGAGGAACGAAAGCCAGGGUAGCAAAUGGGAUUAGAUACCCCUGUAGUC